GAUGAACGCUGGCGGCGUGCCUAACACAUGCAAGUCGAGCGAAGCGCCUUACUUGAUUUCUUCGGGAUGAAGGUUUAGUGACUGAGCGGGCGACGGGUGAAGGCGAACCGCGUGGAUAACCUGGCCUCAUACAGGGGGAUAACAGUUAGAAAUGACUGCUAAUACCGCAUAAGACCACAGCACCGGCAAUGGUUGCCAGGGGGUAAAAACUCCGGUGGGUACUGAGAUGGAUCCGCGUCUGAUUAGCUAGUUGGUAAGGUAACGGCUUACCAAGGCAACGAUCAGUAGCCGACCUGGAGAGGGUGACCGGCCACAUUGGGACUGAGACACGGCCCAA
rnacentral:rRNA from 1 species